GGGGGUCCGGGGCCUUCAGGGCCCAAAGGAGAGAAGGGCCACAUUGGAGUAAAAGGACCGUCCGGGCCCAAAGGAGACAAAGGGCCAAUGGGGGUGCCCGGAUUUCAAGGAAAUGAUGGAGUACCUGGUCACCCAGGUCAGGAGGGCAGCCGAGGACCGCCGGGCCUGGAUGGCUGUAACGGGACCAGAGGGGAACCUGGAGCUCCGGGCUUCGGGACCGGAGCGCCGGGCUUCCCUGGACCCACUGGACCAACUGGGCCGAAGGGUCAGAAAGGAGAGGCUCGAUUUAUCUCCGAUGGCAACAGCAUCUCAGUAAGAAUUCACUCUGACAACACACACUUCAC